ensembl:lncRNA
ACACACACACACACACACACACACACACACACACACACACACACACACACACACACACACACACACACACACACACACACACAUAAACACACACACAGUAACGCAUGCAUAUAGGCAGCCUGACGUCCAGCUCAUGCGCAUCGAAAGAGAACAACGACUACAAACACCGAAUAUAAACAGAUUAUACGUCUGUAUUUAUUUUCAUCAGAACACAUUUUAUUUGUAGUUAUCAUACUUUUCGAAAAGGUCAUGACUAGUGAGAUCGUUUUAUAAAUCAUUUCAUCAAAGUCAGUUGUAAAAAAAUUAAAGAAGUUACUUGAACUAAAGCAUCUAUAAUAUUACAAUAUACCGGUAGUAUAAUAGUAAUCAUAAUAAUCAUAAUCGCAAUGAUACUUCUAUAUGCCUUUAAACCUUGUUUUUAUAAUCAUAAAUCUUCCUCUUCCACACACACACACACACACACACACACACACACACACAGGCGUGCGCACACACACACGCACGCACACACAGUCCCACAACCCUCCUCAAUUAGGUUGCAAAGCUGGGCCCCCCCCAUUGUCCUCGUAACAUCAAUGGUUUCAGACGCACUACGAGACACAGAAAGAAGAAGGAAACAUGAACUGAAGAUACACGAGAGAACCUGGAAGCAGAGACCACCGCUGGAACAAUGGGGAACUGAUCCACAACUCAAACAGGAAAUGGGCUUCUGCAUAGAUCCACGGGGGGGGGGGGCAGAACCACGGGGAGGGCGGGUGGAGGAGGAGGUGGAGGAGGUGGAGGAGAACCUGCUUGUUCCACACCGGCUCCCCAGCGAGAGGCUUCACCCGUCGCUCACACAGGAGGGGAGAGGAGGCGGGACACAGGAAGUCCGGUUCUGCAGGGCUCUGCGAGACGUCACCCGGCAGGCUACCGGUCGGACGCCAGGUCUGACCCCUGACGCCGUCUCCUCCCUCAGCGGGAGAAGGAGAGGAGGGGGAGGGAGGAGGGAGCAGGCUGGGGGGGAGGAGGAAGGAGGGAGGAGGGAGCAGGCUGGGGGGGAGGAGGAAGGAGGAGGGAGCAGGCUGGAGAGGAGGAGGAGGAGGAGGAGGGAGCAGGCUGGAGAGGAGGAGGAGGAGGAGGGAGCAGGCUGGGGGGAGCGUCAGGGAGCAGUGAAGGCUGUGGAGGCCCGCUGCCGGGCCGGUCAGCCUCACAUGGACCAGCGAGCCCCAGCGCUGGUCUGGGACGCAGCGCCGGGGCCAAGAGCCACGUUGGAGCGACACUGGAUGGGGGGGACACCAGCAUGCUGAACCUACUCUGCCCGUGGUGGGCACACUGCGCUGCAUGCAGUACAGGUGUGUGUGUUCACUGAGUGGGGGGGGGGGACAAGAGACCUCCAAUCCCUUACUGGGAUGGAGAGCUGGCCUGACGGUCCGGCUCUUGAUGGUCUGGUCUACUCCCAACAGUCGGGUUAUAUGUCUCAUCCAGACUGGUUCAAACCAGCUGGUAUUUAGGACACAGGUUGGGUAAGGGUUCAUAAACGUAUUGCGGACAAGCACGCUCUCCAUGUGCACACAAAAAUAUUGCAAUGAUUGCUUUUUAAAGUUAAAAAAUACAGUUUAGUUUUUAUAGUUCUGUUUGUCCUGAUUGUGGUUCUAUACUAGUCUCUCUCUCUCUCUCUCUCUCUCUCUCUCUCUCUCUCUCUCUCUCUCUCUCUCUCUCUCUCUCUCUCUCUCUCUCUCUCUCUCAU